UUUUUAUUGAGAGUUUGAUCCUGGCUCAGGACGAACGCUGGCGGCGUGCUUAACACAUGCAAGUCGAGCGAUGAAGCUCCUUCGGGAGUGGAUUAGCGGCGGACGGGUGAGUAACACGUGGGUAACCUGCCUCAUAGAGGGGAAUAGCCUUCCGAAAGGAAGAUUAAUACCGCAUAAGAUUGUAGUGCCGCAUGGCAUAGCAAUUAAAGGAGUAAUCUGCUAUGAGAUGGACCCGCGUCGCAUUAGCUAGUUGGUGAGGUAACGGCUCACCAAGGCGACGAUGCGUAGCCGACCUGAGAGGGUGAUCGGCCACAUUGGGACUGAGACACGGCCCAGACUCCUACGGGAGGCAGCAGU
rnacentral:rRNA from 1 species